rnacentral:ncRNA from 1 species
AAUAGGGAAGUCCGGUGCAAAUCCGGCGCGGUCCCGCCACUGUGACCGGGGAGUCGUCGCCCCUCGCGCGCCACUGCGGCCGCUGCCCCAUCGGGGCCAGGCUGCGGGAAGGCCGGGCGGCGGCCAUGAUCCGGGAGCCAGGAGACCU